AGUGAACGCUGGCGGCAUGCCUAAUACAUGCAAGUCGAGCGGACGCACAGUAAGCUUUCGUCUCUACGGUUGGCGAGGGGCGGACGGGUAAGGCAUAGAUCGCAAUCUACUAUUUCGUGGGUGACAACGUAGAGAAACUUACGCUACUACCGCAUAUUUUCAACGGGUGAAUGCAAAGGAGAAUCGGGCCUUGCUUGUUUGUAUGAGCUGAUGCCGGAUUAGCUAGUUGGUGAGGUAAGGGCCUACCAAGGCAACGAUCCGUAGCUGGUCUGAGAGGAUGAUCGGCCACACUGGAACUGAGACACGGUCCAGACUCCUACGGGAGGCAGCAGUAGGGAAUAUUCGGCAAUGGGCGAAAGCCUGACCCAGCAAUGCCGCGUGAGUGAUGAAGGUCUUCGGAUUGUAAAACCCUGUUAUUAGGGAAGAACAUAUGUGGAAGAAACCGCGGAUAUUUUGACGGUACCUAAUCAGAAAGCCACGGCUAACUACGUG
rnacentral:rRNA from 1 species